AGCUUUGCGCAGUGGCAGUAUCAUAGCCAAUGAGGUUUAUCCGAGGCGCGAGUAUUGCUAAUUAAACAAGAGAAGCAUAUUUGGAUCAUAGUCCUGGAGAAUGAGAAGUCCAGUAUGCUGUAAUUUUUAUGGUUUAGAUCUAAA
rfam:Heterocephalus glaber contig98645, whole genome shotgun sequence.